rnacentral:rRNA from 1 species
AAACCCGGUGAUCUAGCCAUGGGCAGGUUGAAGGUUGGGUAACACUAACUGGAGGACCGAACCGACUAAUGUUGAAAAAUUAGCGGAUGACCUGUGGCUGGGGGUGAAAGGCCAAUCAAACCGGGAGAUAGCUGGUUCUCCCCGAAAGCUAUUUAGGUAGCGCCUCGUGAAUUCAUCUCCGGGGGUAGAGCACUGUUUCGGCUAGGGGGCCAUCCCGGCUUACCAACCCGAUGCAAACUGCGAAUACCGGAGAAUGUUAUCACGGGAGACACACGGCGGGUGCUAACGUCCGUCGUGAAGAGGGAAACAACCCAGACCGCCAGCUAAGGUCCCAAAGUCAUGGUUAAGUGGGAAACGAUGUGGGAAGGCCCAGACAGCCAGGAUGUUGGCUUAGAAGCAGCCAUCAUUUAAAGAAAGCGUAAUAGCUCACUGGUCGAGUCGGCCUGCGC